rnacentral:rRNA from 1 species
UACAGAGGUCUCAAGCGUUGUUCGGAUUCAUUGGGCGUAAAGGGUGCGUAGGCGGCUUUGUAAGUUAGAGGUGAAAGCCCGGGGCUCAACUCCGGAAUUGCCUUUAAGACUGCAUCGCUAGAAUUGUGGAGAGGUAAGUGGAAUUCCGAGUGUAGAGGUGAAAUUCGUAGAUAUUCGGAAGAACACCAGUGGCGAAGGCGACUUACUGGACACAUAUUGACGCUGAGGUGCGAAAGCGUGGGGGAGCAAACAGG